AUGAACGCUAGCGACAGGCUAACACAUGCAAGUCGAGGGGUAACAGGGUAGCAAUACCGCUGACGACCGGCGCACGGGUGAGUAACGCGUAUGCAACCUGCCUAUAACUGGGGAAUAGCUCCCUGAAAGGGGAAUUAGCACCGCAUAAUACUAUUGAUUCGCAUGGAUUAGUAGUUAAAUGUAGCGAUACAGGUUAUAGAUGGGCAUGCGUGACAUUAGCUAGUUGGUGAGGUAACGGCUCACCAAGGCUACGAUGUCUAGGGGUUCUGAGAGGAAGGUCCCCCCACACUGGUACUGAGACACGGACCAGACUCCUACGGGAGGCAGCAGUGAGGAAUAUUGGUCAAUGGGCGCAAGCCUGAACCAGCCAUGUCGCGUGCAGGAAGACUGCCCUAUGGGUUGUAAACUGCUUUUAUAGUAGAAGAAACACAUCUACGUGUAGAUGUCUGCCAGUAUACUAUGAAUAAGCAUCGGCUAACUCCGUGCCAGCCGCUGC
rnacentral:rRNA from 1 species